AGAGUUUGAUCCUGGCUCAGAUUGAACGCUGGCGGCAUGCCUAACACAUGCAAGUCGAACGGCAGCACAGAGGAGCUUGCUCCUUGGGUGGCGAGUGGCGGACGGGUGAGUAAUGCAUCGGGAUCUACCCUGACGUGGGGGAUAACCUCGGGAAACCGGGACUAAUACCGCAUACGUCCUACGGGAGAAAGCGGGGGACCUUUUAGGCCUCGCGCGGCAGGACGAACCGAUGUGCGAUUAGCUAGUCGGCGGGGUAAUGGCCCACCAAGGCGACGAUCGCUAGCUGGUCUGAGAGGACGAUCAGCCACACUGGGACUGAGACACGGCCCAGACUCCUACGGGAGGCAGCAGUGGGGAAUAUUGGACAAUGGGCGCAAGCCUGAUCCAGCAAUGCCGCGUGUGUGAAGAAGGCCUUCGGGUUGUAAAGCACUUUUAUCAGGAGCGAAAUCUGCAUGCUUAAUACGUGUGCAGUCUGACGGUACCUGAGGAAUAAGCACCGGCUAACUUCGUGCCAGCAGCCGCGGUAAUACGAAGGGUGCAAGCGUUAAUCGGAAUUACUGGGCGUAAAGGGUGCGUAGGCGGUUCGUUAAGUCUGUCGUGAAAUCCCCGGGCUCAACCUGGGAAUGGCGAUGGAUACUGGCGAGCUAGAG
rnacentral:rRNA from 1 species